rnacentral:rRNA from 1 species
AAUAUUGCACAAUGGGCGCAAGCCUGAUGCAGCCAUGCCGCGUGUGUGAAGAAGGCCUUCGGGUUGUAAAGCACUUUCAGUCGUGAGGAAGGUAGUGUAGUUAAUAGCUGCAUUAUUUGACGUUAGCGACAGAAGAAGCACCGGCUAACUCCGUGCCAGCAGCCGCGGUAAUACGGAGGGUGCGAGCGUUAAUCGGAAUUACUGGGCGUAAAGCGCAUGCAGGUGGUUUGUUAAGUCAGAUGUGAAAGCCCCGGGGCUCAACCUCGGAAUAGCAUUUGAAACUGGCAGACUAGAGUACUGUAGAGGGGGUAGAAUUUCAGGUGUAGCGGUGAAAUGCGUAGAGAUCUGAAGGAAUACCGGUGGCGAAGGCGGCCCCCUGGACAGAUACUGACACUCAGAUGCGAAAGCGUGGGGAGCAAACAGGAUUAGAUACCCUGGUAG